GUCCCUGUAGCGCAAUGGAUAGCGCGUUGGACUUCUAAUCUAAAGGUCAUGGGUUCGAAUCCUACCUGGGAUG
rnacentral:tRNA from 1 species